CCUACGGGAGGCUGCAGUGGGGAAUAUUGCACAAUGGGCGCAAGCCUGAUGCAGCCAUGCCGCGUGUGUGAAGAAGGCCUUCGGGUUGUAAAGCACUUUCAGCGGGGAGGAAGGCGUUAAGGUUAAUAACCUUGUCGAUUGACGUUACCCGCAGAAGAAGCACCGGCUAACUCCGUGCCAGCAGCCGCGGUAAUACGGAGGGUGCAAGCGUUAAUCGGAAUUACUGGGCGUAAAGCGCACGCAGGCGGUCUGUCAAGUCGGAUGUGAAAUCCCCGGGCUCAGCCUGGGAACUGCAUUCGAAACUGGCAGGCUAGAGUCUUGUAGAGGGGGGUAGAAUUCCAGGUGUAGCGGUGAAAUGCGUAGAGAUCUGGAGGAAUACCGGUGGCGAAGGCGGCCCCCUGGACAAAGACUGACGCUCAGGUGCGAAAGCGUGGGGAGCAAACAGGAUUAGAUACCCGAGUAGUC
rnacentral:rRNA from 1 species